rnacentral:rRNA from 1 species
UACGGAGGGGGCGAGCGUUAUUCGGAAUUAUUGGGCGUAAAGGGCGCGUAGGCGGCUAGGUAAGUCAAAGGUGAAAUCCCUCGGCUCAACUGAGGAACUGCCUUUGAAACUGCCUAGCUUGAGGCCGGGAGGGGGUGGCGGAAUUCCCAGUGUAGCGGUGAAAUGCGUAGAUAUUGGGAGGAACACCAGUGGCGAAGGCGGCCACCUGGACCGGUUCUGACGCUGAUGCGCGAAAGCGUGGGGAGCGAACAGG